AUGAGCCAACUGCUUUGGCUCCAAGCCCGAGAAACACCCUGCUUCAAGAAUAAAAUUGCACCUCUCAUGCCAACAGUUCAGGCAGAUGAUAGGUCAUCUCCAGUACAGCAGUUCAAGGUAUGGUCUGGAGACGUCUGCAGGUCCUGGAGAACUUUGCAGGGUAUGUGUUAUCAAACUUCUUUUCAUAACGAGACUAAGACUUUAUUUUAUUUCUCAUUCUCUCAGAAGUGUACAGUGGAUUUCCCCAGAGGACAUAUGAUGGGUGAUAUCACAAUACUGAAAGCAGAAGGAGAUGUGAGAAUGUAUUUGCAGUCUAUAAAGUUAGACACUAGGGGAGAUUUAGAAAAAGGUAAAAUUAUGCCAUCCUUCUCAC
rnacentral:lncRNA from 1 species